rnacentral:lncRNA from 1 species
UGUUGGAUCAGUUCUGUUUAAACAUAAUGGAAAACAUGAAUAAUACCUGUUACAGCAGAUAACCCAGCAGAGAAUCCAGUCAGGGAUGCAGCCAUCGAGUUAGUCAUGAUUGUUAGGAUGAUCUGGUUCCUCCUUAGGGUGUAAGUUAUGAUGGUGAUGAAACCGAAACUAGGGUGAGAAUCGGUUAUGGGGAGAGAGCCGAAUUCUUUGAUGUUAUGAGGGUUGUGAUUGUGUAAUGUGUGUAACCCUUAAACUCUCUAAUAAGCCCCUUAUUUAUACACCCAAGAGGAAACCCAAUUAGUUAAUAAGGGUAAUAUGGUCCAUCAACAAUUACCAACUAAUUAUUAAUAGGUUAAUAAAUAUAUUUUGAUCUAAUAUAAUAUAAAUGAUUAUAUAGGCUACAAGAUUAAAUAUUACAUUUAUAUAUUUAAUCUCACAUUCUCCCACUUAGCCAAGUAAUCAUUUAUCAUGAGUAUUAGGUAAGCCUGGCCAGGAGUUAACACUCAUUUUAGCUUUAAACCAAGAACUAUAGCAGAGAAAUACAGCCGUUGAAUCAUCAUUCGACUCAGGACCCCCAUUAGUCAUACUAUAGCCUCAAUUUAAAACCUAAUAGUUACGAUCAAAAUAUAUAUAAGCCCUUUAGCGUCUGAUUUGUAUUUAUAUUUGUCUAUAUGUCAUUACACCGGCAGAACAUAUGUUAGAGACAUACAAAAUCAAACUGAGGAAAUUUUAUUAAUUAAAACAUAAGCUAGUACAAUAUGCCAUUAAACAAGGUCUUUAGUAAGUCCCAUAUUCGAUACAUGUUCUUCGAAAACUUUAGGUGGAAGACCUUUAGUCAUCGGAUCCGCUAGCAUAUCUUUAGUACUAAUAUACUCUAUACAAAGAUUAUUUUCCUCAACUCGUUCACGUACGAACAAGUACUUUGUAUCGAGAUAUAAACCAGCUCCAGUCGAACUGUUACUGUUCGAGAAACUAACGGCAGCUGAAUUAUCACAAUAAAGCUUCAAUGGUCUAGAAAUGGAAUUAACGAUUUUGAGUCCAGUGAUCAGAUUUCUAAGCAACAUUCCAUGACAGGUUGCGUUGUAAACAGCAAUGUAUUCUGCCAUCAUUGUGGAAGUUGUAGUUAACUGUUGUUUAUGACUCUUCCAUGAGAUAGGUCCGCCUGCUAACAUAAAGAUGUAGCCCGAAGUGGAUUUCUUGUCAUCUUUGCAUUUUGCAAAGUCAGAAUCAGAAUAACCUACCACUUCUAAGUGAUCACUUCUUCUAUAAGUCAGUUUAUAGUCUUUCGUCCCUUGCAGAUAUAUGAGGACCUUCUUAGCUGCUUUCCAGUGAUCUAGGCCAGGAUUAGUCUGAUAACGGCCUAGCAUUCCAGCAAUAUAAGCGAUAUCUGGGCGAGUACAGACUUGAGCAUACAUCAGGCUCCCGACUACUAACGCGUAAGGUAUCUGGCUCAUUUGCUCCUUUUCAACCUCUGUUGUCGGACACUGGAAUGAACCGAAAACAUCUCCCUUAACUACUGGUGAUGCGUGUCGCGACGGAGGGUUUGCACUGUUGCAUGUUGUAACGUGUAAGGACACGAUCUAUGUAAGUCUUUUGAGACAAUCCUAAGAUCCCUUUGUGUCUAUCUCGGUGAAUUUCGAUGCCAAUGACGUAAGAAGCAUCUCCGAGAUCCUUCAUGUCGAAGUUAUGCGAGAGUAACCGCUUCGACUCAUGCAACAUGUCUAAACUAUUACUUGCCAAUAGAAUGUCAUCUACGUAAAGGACAAGUAUAGUAAAGUUACUCCCACUCAUCUUGAGGUAGGUGCAUUGAUCCACUUGAUUCUUCAUAAAACCUUGCCUCUUCAUGACUUCAUCAAACUUGAGAUACCAUUGACGUGAUGCUUGUUUUAACCCAUAAAUGGAUUUCUUCAACUUACAGACUAGAUGCUCCUGACCUUCAGGUUUAAAGCCUUCAGGUUGUUUCAUGUAAACAUCUUCGUCUAAGUCUCCGUUAAGGAAAGCAGUUUUGACGUCCAUCUGAUGCAGCUCUAAAUCAAAAUGAGCUACUAGGGCCAUAACGAUCCUUAAUGAAUCUUUACGAGAGACAGGUGAAAACGUCUCUUGAUAAUGAAUUCCCUCUUUCUGAGUGUAGCCCUUUGCAACCAAUCUCGCUUUAUAGCGUUCAACGUUCCCAUUCGGAUCUAGUUUUGUUUUGAACACCCAUUUACAACCUACAGGUUUGACACCGUUGGGUAAUUCUACCAAAUCCCAAACGUCAUUUUUCUUCAUGGAUUCAAGCUCAUCAAUCAUUGCUUUGUUCCAUUCAGAAGACUGAUCACUGCUAAUGGCUUCAUUAUAAGAGAUAGGAUCAUUGAGCUUUCCAGCAUCCAUUUCAGUCAGGUAGGUAAUAUAAUCAUCCCAAUUAGUAGGCCGUUUUGCCUAGAUGACCUCCUGAGCUGAUUUUCGGGUUGAGCGUUGUCUUGGUUUUGAGCGUUUGAUGUGCCUUCGUUAUGAGGUAUAAUGGGUUCUGGUUGUGGAGUUGUAGUUUGUGCAGUGGCUUCAGGUGCAGU